rnacentral:rRNA from 1 species
GCUAAAGUGGAAGAGUUGCGAACGGGUGAGUAACGCGUAGGUAACCUGCCUACUAGCGGGGAUAACUAUUGGAAACGAUAGCUAAUACCGCAUAACAGCAUUUAACACAUGUUAGAUGCUUGAAAGGAGCAAUUGCUUCACUAGUAGAUGGACCUGCGUUGUAUUAGCUAGUUGGUGAGGUAACGGCUCACCAAGGCGACGAUACAUAGCGACCUGAGAGGGUGAUCGGCCACACUGGGACUGAGACACGGCCCAGACUCCUACGGGAGGCAGCAGUAGGGAAUCUUCGGCAAUGGGGGCAACCCUGACCGAGCAACGCCGCGUGAGUGAAGAAGGUUUUCGGAUCGUAAAGCUCUGUUGUAAGAGAAGAACGUGUGUGAGAGUGGAAAGUUCACACAGUGACGGUAACUUACCAGAAAGGGACGGCUAACUACGUGCCAGCAGCCGC